rnacentral:rRNA from 1 species
GAUAGACUACGACGCCCUGCGCACGACCUUCGUGGUGCCAUAGGUUUGAAUACGUUCCGCCUCCUAAAAAUAUGCCUACCCACUUUCUCUCUGAUCGAGUACAUUUGUCGCCCUUUUCCGUUACCAGAAACGAUCUUGUUUGAAACAAGCCUUUACGUCCCUGGCAUUGUACACACCGCCCGUCGCUACUACCGAUCGAAUGGCUCCAGUGGAGGCCUUCCGGACUGGCCCAGAAGAGGUCGGCAACGACCACUCAGGGCCGGAAAGCUAUCCAAACUCGGUCAUUUAGAGGAAGUAAAAGUCGUAACAAGGUCUCCGUUGGUGAACCAGCGGAGGGAUCAUUAUUAGAAGCCGAAAGGCUACUUAAAACCAUCGCGAACUCAUCCAAGUUGCUUCGGCGGCGCGGCGUCCCUAACGGGCGCCGCAGCCCCGCCUCUCCGGAGGCGUGGGGCGCCCGCCGGAGGUACGAAACUCUGUAUUAUAGUGGCAUCUCUGAGUAAAAAACAAAUAAGUUAAAACUUUCAACAACGGAUCUCUUGGUUCUGGCAUCGAUGAAGAACGCAGCGAAAUGCGAUAAGUAAUGUGAAUUGCAGAAUUCAGUGAAUCAUCGAAUCUUUGAACGCACAUUGCGCCCGCUAGUACUCUAGCGGGCAUGCCUGUUCGAGCGUCAUUUCAACCCUCAAGCCCUGCUUGGUGUUGGGGCCCUACGGCUGCCGUAGGCCCUGAAAGGAAGUGGCGGGCUCGCUACAACUCCGAGCGUAGUAAUUCAUUAUCUCGCUAGGGAUGUUGCGGCGUGCUCCUGCCGUUAAAGACCAUCUUAACUCAAGGUGACCUCGGAUCAGGUAGCAUCCGUUUAA